rnacentral:rRNA from 1 species
AGUCAUAUGCUUGUCUCAAAGAUUAAGCCAUGCAUGUCUAAGUAUAAGCAAUUUAUACGGUGAAACUGCGAAUGGCUCAUUAAAUCAGUUAUCGUUUAUUUGAUAGUACCUUACUACAUGGAUACCUGUGGUAAUUCUAGAGCUAAUACAUGCUGAAAACCUCGACUUCGGAAGGGGUGUAUUUAUUAGAUAAAAAACCAAUGCCCUUCGGGGCUCCUUGGUGAAUCAUAAUAACUUAACGAAUCGCAUGGCCUUGCGCCGGCGAUGGUUCAUUCAAAUUUCUGCCCUAUCAACUUUCGAUGGUAGGAUAGUGGCCUACCAUGGUGGCAACGGGUAACGGGGAAUUAGGGUUCGAUUCCGGAGAGGGAGCCUGAGAAACGGCUACCACAUCCAAGGAAGGCAGCAGGCGCGCAAAUUACCCAAUCCCGACACGGGGAGGUAGUGACAAUAAAUACUGAUACGGGGCUCUUUUGGGUCUCGUAAUUGGAAUGAGUACAAUCUAAAUCCCUUAACGAGGAACAAUUGGAGGGCAAGUCUGGUGCCAGCAGCCGCGGUAAUUCCAGCUCCAAUAGCGUAUAUUAAAGUUGUUGCAGUUAAAAAGCUCGUAGUUGAACCUUGGGUUCGGCCGGCCGGUCCGCCUCACCGCGAGUACUGUCCGGCCGUUCCUUUCCUUCUGGGGAAUCCAUGGCCCUCACUGGCUGUGGGGGGAACAGGACUCUACUGUGAAAAAAUAGAGUGUUCAAGCAGGCCUUGC